UACAGAGGUGCCGAGCGUUAGGCGGAAUCACUGGGCUUAAAGCGUGUGUAGGCGGACGUCUAAGUACCUUGUGAAAUCCCACGGCUUACCCGUGGAACUGCUGGGUAUACUGGUUGUCUUGAGCUUUCUAGGGGCGAGCGGAACAAAUGGUGGAGCGGUGAAAUGCGUAGAUAUCAUUUGGAACGCCAAUGGUGAAAACAGCUCGCUGGGGAAAUGCUGACGCUGAGACACGAAAGCCAGGGGAGCGAACGGG
rnacentral:rRNA from 1 species